UUUGCAUAUCAAUAAGCGGAGGAAAAGAAACCAACAGGGAUUGCCUUAGUAGCGGCGAGUGAAGCGGCAAAAGCUCAAAUUUGAAAUCUGGCACCUUCGGUGUCCGAGUUGUAAUUUGAAGAUUGUAACCUUGGGGUUGGCUCUUGUCUAUGUUUCUUGGAACAGGACGUCACAGAGGGUGAGAAUCCCGUGCGAUGAGAUGCCCAAUCCUAUGUAAGGUGCUUUCGAAGAGUCGAGUUGUUUGGGAAUGCAGCUCUAAGUGGGUGGUAAAUUCCAUCUAAAGCUAAAUAUUGGCGAGAGACCGAUAGCGAACAAGUACAGUGAUGGAAAGAUGAAAAGAACUUUGAAAAGAGAGUGAAAAAGUACGUGAAAUUGUUGAAAGGGAAGGGUUUGAGAUCAGACUCGAUAUUUUGUGAGCCUUGCCUUCGUGGCGGGGUGACCCGCAGCUUAUCGGGCCAGCAUCGGUUUGGGCGGUAGGAUAAUGGCGUAGGAAUGUGACUUUGCUUCGGUGAAGUGUUAUAGCCUGCGUUGAUGCUGCCUGCCUNGACCG
rnacentral:rRNA from 1 species